rnacentral:misc_RNA from 1 species
UAUCCAUACAUGUAAAUUAUCCAAAUGUGUGGCUUUUUUUUUCUCGCAUGGCCGACGUAUGCAUACUGUAUUCCAAGUGAGUUUUCGCGUGUCACGUAAAAUAUUAACCCAACAAAUUAAAUAAUUUUUUAAUCCACAUUGAAAUUCCGUUAAUAUUAAUCAUCAAUAAAGGAAUAAAAAAAUAUCUAUCUUUCAUCAUUCAACAUAAUCAUCUUCUCAUCAAAACCACAUUAUACACCUGGUGCUACAAUUAAAAAAAAAAAAACUGUCAAUAUAAUAAUAUUUACUUGUUAUUAUUAUUAUUAUAAUUGUUGUUAACAUUGUAAUUUAAAAACUUGAAAAUAUGUCAAACGAAGAGACUUCUGCUGAUCGUAAUGUCGAAAUUUGGAAAAUUAAAAAGCUCAUUAAGAGCUUGGAAAUGGCUCGAGGAAAUGGUACUAGUAUGAUUUCUCUUAUCAUACCACCAAAAGAUCAAAUUUCACGAGUUAGUAAAAUGUUGGCUGAUGAACUUGGUACAGCAUCAAAUAUUAAAUCACGUGUUAAUAGAUUAUCAGUACUUGGUGCUAUAACAUCUGUUCAACAUCGAUUGAAAUUAUACACAAAAGUGCCACUGAAUGGCUUGGUUAUUUACUGUGGUACAAUUGUUACUGAGGAAGGUAAAGAGAGAAAAGUCAAUAUUGAUUUUGAACCAUUUAAACCAAUCAAUACAUCUUUGUAUUUGUGUGACAAUAAGUUUCAUACUGAGGCAUUAACCGCAUUAUUAGCAGAUGAUAAUAAAUUCGGUUUCAUUAUAAUGGACGGUAAUGGUGCAUUAUUUGGUACAUUACAAGGAAAUACAAGAGAAGUACUUCAUAAAUUUACUGUUGAUUUACCGAAAAAACACGGUAGAGGAGGUCAAUCUGCACUUCGUUUUGCUCGUUUACGUAUGGAAAAACGACACAAUUAUGUUAGAAAAGUUGCUGAAGUUGCAACACAAUUAUUUAUAACAAAUGAUAAGCCAAAUAGUGCUGGACUUAUUUUAGCUGGUAGUGCUGAUUUUAAAACUGAAUUAAGUCAAUCAGAUAUGUUUGAUCCAAGACUGCAAGCUAAAGUUAUAAAACUUGUUGAUGUAUCAUAUGGUGGUGAAAAUGGUUUCAAUCAAGCUAUUGAACUUGCUGCUGAGUCACUUCAAAAUGUCAAAUUUAUUCAAGAAAAAAAACUCAUUGGUCGUUAUUUUGAUGAAAUAUCACAAGAUACUGGUAAAUAUUGUUUUGGUGUUGAAGAUACACUUAGAGCAUUAGAACUUGGUAGUGUUGAGACACUUAUUUGUUGGGAAAAUCUGGAUAUACAAAGAUACGUUCUUAAAAAUCAUACUAAUGCUGAAGAAAAAGUAUUGCAUUUAACACCUGAACAAGAAAAAGACAAGUCUCAUUUUACUGAUAAAGAGAGUGGUGUAGAGUUAGAAUUAGUCGAGUGUCAACCAUUACUUGAAUGGCUCGCAAAUAACUACAAAAGUUUUGGUGCAACCUUAGAAAUAAUAACUGAUAAAUCACAAGAAGGCUCACAAUUUGUCAGAGGUUUUGGUGGAAUUGGAGGAAUUCUACGCUACAAAGUUGAUUUCCAAUCACUGCAGGCUGAUGAGCCUCUUGAUGAUGUUGACCUCGAUGAUUACUAAUUUCAUUGGGUGAAUAAAAAGUCGAUUUAAAAACCCAGCUCGCACAUUGGGAAAGGUGUUUUGCGAUACAAAGUCGAUUUUCAAAGUAUGCAGCUUGAUGAUAAUGAAUCUUAUGAUUACGAUAUUGAUGAUUACUAAAAUAUUCAAUGGUAAAAAAAAUAAACGAAGCAGUGGAUUCGGUACUCCGACAUUGGAAUUAAUUAUAAAAAAAAAAAAAAGGUGAAAAAUGCGAUAAUGAAAAAUUUAAUUAAAUAAUAAAAAAAAAACUUUUAAAUAAAUUGCAACAAAAAACAUUUAAUAAACUAAAAAACGCGAGUUUCAUGAAGCCACUGUGAGUGUUAGUAUUUUUAUUUAUUUUUUUAUUAUAAUUUUUUGUUAACUCAAUUACAAAAAAAAAAAAAAUCAACGUAUGUAAUUGAUUAAUUUUAAUAGAAAAAUAAAUUAAACCGGAUACAUUAAUCAUCACGCUGAAAAAAAAAAAAACUGUUGAUGUCAAAACAGUUGAGGAAAAAUUAAAAAAAAAAAAUUUCAUAUCAUCGUUAUUAAAAUGUUUUAAAAUAAAUAUUAAUUGUCAAAUUACCGGUAUAUUUUUAAUGAUAAAAUCAAUAAUUAUCAUGCUGCAAAUUAACAACAAAAUCGAUAAAAUUAUUGAAAAUUUAAAACAUAAAAAAAUAGUAUGAAUGGUAUAAUAAUUAUAAAAUAAACAAGAGUGCGAUUAUAAACAUAAACAAAAUUUACAACAAACAUAAAAAAAAAUCAUAAUUUUAAGGGGGGUAAUAGUUAACAACAAUUAGAAAAAUGAUUUUAAUAAAAUAUUUAAAGGGCAACUUGAAGACUGUGACACUUAAAUAAGCCAGCUUGAAUACCUGCCUAUUUACUUUAAAAAAAAAAACAAAAACAAAAACAAAAAAUAAAUGAAAAUAGAAGAUACAUUAUAAAAGCAAUUCACGUAUUUGUUUUUAAUCUAUAUAUUUAAAACAAAAUAAGUAAAUUUAAAAACACGUAUCUUCUCAGGACUUUUUUGUGUCGACAAAAUAUUGAUAUUUAAUCGAGUCCAUGAUAUUUACACAUACACAAAUAAUAAUUAAUAAUCAAUUGUGUACAGUACAAUAAUUAAAUAAUACAAAUAUGUAAAUUUUUCCAAUGAAAUACUUUUUUUUUUUAUUGAUACAUUCUCUUUAUCAAGGUGUUAUUAUUACUUUUUUUUUUUUUUUGUUUCUUCAUCGAAAAAUGUACAUUUGUUUAAUCAAUAUUGAUAUUCAUUUUUAUUAUUUUCUUGUCUCUUUAUUUACAAGUAAAAUUAAUGAUUAAUCAGAAAAAAAAAAACAAUCUAGUUAAUUAAAUUUAUACUCUGAUUUUCGAGUAUUUUUUUAGGUUUUUUUUUUUUCAUAUCAAAUGUGCAAUUAUCGAUAUUUUAUUUUCACAUUAGUUAGAUUAUAAUUUUGUUUAUAUUUUGAGGUUGUUUAGAAAAUUUAAAAAAGAAAAAUGUAAAAAGAAAAAAAAAACAACACAUUGCGAAAAAUAUAAAAUAUUUUGACAUGUUGAAUGAAUUACCUCAUAUUUUAAUGUAAUAAAAAUUAAAAAAAAAAAUAAUAAUAUUACAAAAAAAUGAAAUUAAAAA